AUUGAACGCUGGCGGCAUGCUUUACACAUGCAAGUCGAACGGCAGCGCGGGCUUCGGCCUGGCGGCGAGUGGCGAACGGGUGAGUAAUGCAUCGGAACGUGCCCAGUAGUGGGGGAUAGCCCGGCGAAAGCCGGAUUAAUACCGCAUACGACCUGAGGGUCAAAGCGGGGGACCGAAAGGCCUCGCGCUAUUGGAGCGGCCGAUGUCGGAUUAGCUAGUUGGUGGGGUAAAGGCUUACCAAGGCGACGAUCCGUAGCUGGUCUGAGAGGACGACCAGCCACACUGGGACUGAGACACGGCCCAGACUCCUACGGGAGGCAGCAGUGGGGAAUUUUGGACAAUGGGGGCAACCCUGAUCCAGCCAUGCCGCGUGCGGGAAGAAGGCCUUCGGGUUGUAAACCGCUUUUGUUCGGGAAGAAAUCCUCUGGGCUAAUACCCCGGGGGGAUGACGGUACCGGAAGAAUAAGCACCGGCUAACUACGUG
rnacentral:rRNA from 1 species